rnacentral:tRNA from 1 species
AGGAAGAUAAGCUAAGUUAAGCUCGCAGGUUCAUACCCUGUUUAUGGCUUCGGCCUCUUUCUA